UACGUACGAGGCGAGCGUUAUCCGGAAUUACUGGGCGUAAAGCGCGCGUAGGCGGCCUGUUAAGUCGGACGUGAAAUCCCCGGGCUCAACCCGGGAACUGCGUCCGAUACUGGCAGGCUUGAAUCCGGGAGAGGGAUGUGGAAUUCCAGGUGUAGCGGUGAAAUGCGUAGAUAUCUGGAGGAACACCGGUGGCGAAGGCGGCAUCCUGGACCGGCAUUGACGCUGAGGCGCGAAAGCCAGGGGAGCAAACGGG
rnacentral:rRNA from 1 species